GUUCGUUGGGUAGGGGAGCGUUCUGUAAGCCUGUGAAGGUGUGUCGUGAGGCAUGCUGGAGGUAUCAGAAGUGCGAAUGCUGACAUAAGUAACGAUAAAGCGGGUGAAAAGCCCGCUCGCCGGAAGACCAAGGGUUCCUGUCCAACGUUAAUCGGGGCAGGGUGAGUCGACCCCUAAGGCGAGGCCGAAAGGCGUAGUCGAUGGGAAACGGGUUAAUAUUCCCGUACUUGGUGUUACUGCGAAGGGGGGACGGAGAAGGCUAUGUUGGCCGGGCGACGGUUGUCCCGGUUUAAGCGUGUAGGUGUGUGUUCCAGGUAAAUCCGGUUCACUUUAACACUGAGGCGUGACGACGAGGCACUACGGUGCUGAAGCAACAAAUGCCCUGCUUCCAGGAAAAGCCUCUAAGCAUCAGGUAACAUCAAAUCGUACCCCAAACCGACACAGGUGGUCAGGUAGAGAAUACCAAGGCGCUUGAGAGAACUCGGGUGAAGGAACUAGGCAAAAUGGUGCCGUAACUUCGGGAGAAGGCACGCUGACACGUAGGUGAAGUGAUUUACUCAUGGAGCUGAAGUCAGUCGAAGAUACCAGCUGGCUGCAACUGUUUAUUAAAAACACAGCACUGUGCAAACACGAAAGUGGACGUAUACGGUGUGACGCCUGCCCGGUGCCGGAAGGUUAAUUGAUGGGGUCAGCGCAAGCGAAGCUCCUGAUCGAAGCCCCGGUAAACGGCGGCCGUAACUAUAACGGUCCUAAGGUAGCGAAAUUCCUUGUCGGGUAAGUUCCGACCUGCACGAAUGGCGUAAUGAUGGCCAGGCUGUCUCCACCCGAGACUCAGUGAAAUUGAACUCGCUGUGAAGAUGCAGUGUACCCGCGGCAAGACGGAAAGACCCCGUGAACCUUUACUAUAGCUUGACACUGAACAUUGAGCCUUGAUGUGUAGGAUAGGUGGGAGGCUUUGAAGCGUGGACGCCAGUCUGCAUGGAGCCGACCUUGAAAUACCACCCUUUAAUGUUUGAUGUUCUAACGUGGACCCGUGAUCCGGGUUGCGGACAGUGUCUGGUGGGUAGUUUGACUGGGGCGGUCUCCUCCUAAAGAGUAACGGAGGAGCACGAAGGUUGGCUAAUCCUGGUCGGACAUCAGGAGGUUAGUGCAAUGGCAUAAGCCAGCUUGACUGCGAGCGUGACGGCGCGAGCAGGUGCGAAAGCAGGUCAUAGUGAUCCGGUGGUUCUGAAUGGAAGGGCCAUCGCUCAACGGAUAAAAGGUACUCCGGGGAUAACAGGCUGAUACCGCCCAAGAGUUCAUAUCGACGGCGGUGUUUGGCACCUCGAUGUCGGCUCAUCACAUCCUGGGGCUGAAGUAGGUCCCAAGGGUAUGGCUGUUCGCCAUUUAAAGUGGUACGCGAGCUGGGUUUAGAACGUCGUGAGACAGUUCGGUCCCUAUCUGCCGUGGGCGCUGGAGAACUGAGGGGGGCUGCUCCUAGUACGAGAGGACCGGAGUGGACGCAUCACUGGUGUUCGGGUUGUCAUGCCAAUGGCACUGCCCGGUAGCUAAAUGCGGAAGAGAUAAGUGCUGAAAGCAUCUAAGCACGAAACUUGCCCCGAGAUGAGUUCUCCCUGAGACUUAGAGUCUCCUGAAGGAACGUUGAAGACGACGACGUUGAUAGGCCGGGUGUGUAAGCGCAGCGAUGCGUUGAGCUAACCGGUACUAAUGAACCGUGAGGCUUAACCUU
rnacentral:rRNA from 2 species